rnacentral:misc_RNA from 1 species
GAUGAAGAACGCAACGAAACGCGAUAAGUAAUGUGAAUUGCAGAAUCCAGUGAAUCAUCGAAUCUUUGAACGCACAUUGCGCCCGCCAGCAUUCUGGCGGGCAUGCCUGUUCGAGCGUCAUUUCAACCCUCGACCUCCCCUUGGGGAGGUCGGCGUUGGGGACCGGCAGCACACCGCCGGCCCUGAAAUGGAGUGGCGGCCCGUCCGCGGCGACCUCUGCGCAGUAAUACAGCUCGCACCGGGACCCCGACGCGGCCACGCCGUAAAACACCCAACUUCUGAACGUUGACCUCGACUCAGGUAGGACUACCCGCUGAACUUAAGCAUAUCAAUAAGCGGAGGA